GAACGCCUGUAGCAAUACAGGAGUGGCGGACGGGUGAGUAACACGUGGGCAACCUUUCCUAUCGCGGGGGAUAACAGCGGGAAACCGCUGCUAAUACCGCAUGUCGUCAUCGGUCGCAUGGCCGGUGAAAAAAGCAGCAAUGCACGAUGGGGUGGGCCCGCGGCCUAUCAGCUAGUCGGUGGGGUAACGGCCUACCGAGGCGAUGACGGGUAGCUGGCCUGAGAGGACGACCAGCCACACGGGGACUGAGACACGGCCCCGACUCCUACGGGAGGCAGCAGUGAGGAAUCUUCCGCAAUGGGCGAAAGCCUGACGGAGCGACGCCGCGUGUGGGAUGAAGUCCUUCGGGAUGUAAACCACUGUUGGAGGGGAAGACAACUGACGGUACCCUCCGAGAAAGCCCCGGCUAACUACGUG
rnacentral:rRNA from 1 species